AGAGGAAUUGUGGCCUUCUGUAAUAAUGUUCAUACUGACAAUGCUUAUUAUUUUAAAUACGAAUCUGUACUUCCAUACUCUUCAAAAUCCCUUCCCAUGACAAACUAUAGUUAUUCACUUAUUAGUAAUAAUUCAAUAAAGUUUUCCAAAUUUAUGUUGAGUACCAAAACCAUACUCAAAAAUAAAGAUGGAAUAGUUUAUUUAUCUAGUAAAUUAACAAUUCAAUUUAAAAAUUGAGCAUUAUUCAAAAAUGGCAUAAAAUCCUGAUGUGACAAAUAUAUAGGCUACUGUGUUGUGAUUUUUUUGUCCAAUUUGACUUUUUAGUACUUCCAUGAAAAAAUUGUUCAGGUGAGUUUAACUUCCCUUUGUAUUUUAUUUUGUUUUGCUUGUUUUCCUAUGUAACUGAUGUUGUUUAUGAUAAUUGAGUAAUUCGGUUAAUACUCUGGUGUCUCAACAAGUCUCUGUAUUUUUUGUAGGUCGAUCUGCAUUUUCCAAAAAAAUAUACCAGUGCAACAAGUGUGGGAAAAUAUAUAAAGAAAAUAGUGGCCUGUAUAGACAUAAGAGGUUUGAGUGUGGCGUCGAACCUCAAUUCCAAUGUCCUCACUGUCCUCAUCGCGCCAAACAGAGAAGCAACCUCAAAACUCACAUUGGUCUCAAACAUGGACCAGAAUUUAUUUUACAAUAAUUAUACCCUAUACUUUAAAAUUUGAAUGCGCCACCUCCUCCAUCACACUUUACUCUCAAAAUUCAUAUUACCGUAAUAUCAAACAUAAGUUCAACAUUUUUUAUUUAUAUUUUUUACCACGAUUAAAUAAUUUAAAAAUAUUAUUUAAGAGUGGCAUUUAUUCAACCUUGGCGUCUAUGUAUUUUUCAUCUCUCAUGUUUUUAAUUCAUCUCGUCCUUUUCAUAUUAUCUGUCAAAAUUAGUCACACAUCUCCAUGUAUUAAAAUAACGAUGUUUUAUUUUUACAACUCAUAUUUUCUGAGCGAACUGUUUUUAUCAAUAUAUUUUUGAAGAAUUAAAGGUACCUACGUAAUUAAACAAACAUUUUUCUCAUGUAAAUUUCAAUAUAUAUUAAUUUAUAUUCCUGUUUUGCUGUACGGUAUAUGUGCUUAAUUUUCCAUUAAAUCAUUGCAAAAAAGCGAGUUUUUUUCGAUCAGAAUCUGAGACCCUGAGAACUGCAUUCCGUACGGUACUGGUUUUGGGAGUGCUCACACAUUGGAACAAAUUUAUAAUAUAAGUGGUCUGACAAAAAUGUAUGAUUGCACCCAUUAGAUCCAUUGAUUGGAAAGCAGGACUUCAUUGUAAGUCAACUUUAUUUCAGUUUUCUAUGUGUAGCAAUAAGUACAUUUUCGAACACUCUAUAUUGCUUUCAAUAAUUAACCCUAGGCUUAUAUACCUUCAAUUUCUGGUCUCCUUUGCAAUAUUUUAUCUUACUUUGUAUUUCUUGAUUCUAUCAAUUCAAAUUUAGUGAUUAGCUUGUACACUUAUACUUCAUAUUUAGUUUACUAUCCUCUAAAAGUUUACAAUAUGGGUUAAUUUUGCUUGUAUUUAAGCAGAAAAUGUCAAGUUCUAUAAAAUAACUUUGUUGAUAACUUUUUCUCUCGUAUGAAUUUGUCGGAUUGAUAUGAUACCAAUGAGACGAUAAAGGAACUGUCAUCGUUUUUCUGGGGAUUAACAAAAAAUAGAACAUAAUGAGUGUUCUAGGGGCAGGUUUUUUCGUGAGUUAACAUUUUAUUUUAAAGUUUCCAAAAAUUGUGUACAAUUUUCCACAAUAGAGAAAAAUGUAUCAACUUCAUCAAAAUUUUUAAAUUGCUCACACGUACAUUCUCUUUCACAAUGUAUGUUCACAUUAUAAAUGUUCUAGCUACUAGUUUUAGUUGUUACAUCAUUAUCAAUCUCCAGUUUUGGUUGUAAUACUAUUAUCAAUCUGUAGUAAACUGCCAAUCUAAAAAUCAAGCAGCAGAAUAUAUAGUUAGUGUGUGAAUUAAGCAAUAUAUGAUCGACCGUUAGUGACAAAAUCAUGAUUGAGUUAUCUCAUUGAGCUCUGGCAAAGACACGACACGACACACUCACAUUACUCUCUAUAUGAUCAUGGAAACCGUUAAACAGUAUAACAAUAGAAAAUAUACUAUCAAAUCCAAAUUGUUGAGUAUUUUCUUCUUUUGCUGUAGUUCAAUGGUUCUCAUGAUCAAAUAUAUUUGGAAUAGCUUGAGAGUGUCUUAUGUCUCGGGCAAUGACACAGCUAGACCAACCGUGAUUGGGUCACUAACAGCCACUCAUAUAUAUGGCUUCGUCUUCGUCCACACUAUUGGCUAUAUCAUGCUGCUCGAUGUUCAAAUAGGCUAUAUUAGUUUGAUAGAGGUUGAGAAUGGUGUAACAACCAAAACUAGUACUGUUAUCUCAAAAUUUAUUCAAUAAAUCAGUGGUCUUGAUAAUUUCAGUCGGUUCUCAUUCAAUAUCAUCCACUUAUCUUACCACAAUAUCAUAUUUACAACAACACAGAAAGUUGACAGGGUAUUCCAAUCGUAGCCUGAAAUCUCCAUGUGAAAAAAGGGUUUUGUUGUAAUUUUUUGGCUAAUUUUGUGUAUUUUCAGUAAUUGCAUGACGAAUUUCUGUUUGAUGAGUUGAACUCACUUUUCUAGUUAGUACUGUAGUAGACGCUUGGCCAUUCAACUGAUGUGUUUGAAAUUAAAGUAUAAACUUUAUAAUGUGUGGUUUGUGUUACCUAACAAAUCUCGGUAUUUUUGCAGAUCACUUGGCAUUUCUCAAGAAGCGGUACCAUUGCAGCAAAUGUGGAAAAAGCUAUGCAUCAAGUGGCUGCUUGAAUAGACAUCAAAGAUAUGAGUGUGGCAUGGAGCCCAAGUUCGUAUGUCCCCACUGUUCAUACCGCUGCAAGCAACCACAUGACCUUAAAGUACACAUUGUUAUUAGACAUGGUCCUAAAAUGGCAAUCUAGCAUGUACAUUUCCCAUUACAUCCUUUUCUUGUAGGCAUUUCGGCAGUUGCCAUCAAGAAACACAGAUGCAACUUGUGUGGCAAAAGUUAUAAAGAGAAAAGUAGCUUGUAUACUCAUCAGAAGUACGAAUGCGGCAAGGAACCCCAGUUCCAAUGUCCCUACUGUCCACAUCGCUCCAAACAGAGAGGCCAUCUAAAAACUCACAUUGGUGUCAAACAUAGUGAUAAACUGUUGCCGUAAUUUAAAAUGUGUCAUGCGCUACUUACAGUUAUUAUUCUACUCUUAUCCUUUGAUUUAGUAUUAUAAUGAUUUGUUCAAUUAUUUCAUUAUUUUCUGUGUAAAUUCAUGUUUGACAAGAUCUUAUAUUUUGUUUUGUAAUGAAUUAGAAGCUUCCAAAAAGUACCGUACUAGUAUUUUUUUAAUAUAGGCCUAUGUAUUCUUUCCUCUAUGCUUUGAAUUAGAAUGUAUAUGUGUGUGAUUUAUAAUUAUGUAUUUAUGAAUGUGUUUAUAUCUGUAUAAUUGUGUGUAAGCUAUAGGCUAUGUUUGCAUACAAAUGCAUUUCUUUGGAAAAAAAUUGUUUUGUUAUCAAUUCAUUCAUCUAUACUAUCAUAAAGAGAAGAAUUGCCUUGUACGGGAUAGGAAAUAAACGAAUGAUGCAUCUGAACUACACCUACCUACUGAACUGAUUAACUUGAAUUUUUGCAUAGAGUUACUUAAAAUAACGGAGGAUGUUUAUAUGCAUAUUUUCAUUCUCAUCAAACAAUAAAUUUGAAUUUAAUUAUUGAAACAAGUUUAUUCAAUUUGUGAUUCAGAGUUUAUGCGGAGAUGAAAACCCAACCAAACAGAGCUUUCUCCAAAUGAUACCGUGGCGUAUAAUUGGUAGAACGCACGAUUCAUGAAUGUUCAUGAAAUCGCGAGUUCAAUUAAAUUAUUUUUUGGCUGGAAAUGUUCAACUCUGAUGAAGUUCAUUCACGUAAUUUUGGCAAAAUAAUAAGAAAGAAUUAUUCUAUUGCAAAUAAGAUAUUGCAUUUUAUAACACAACAUUUUCCCCAGUGCAAAGCACGUUACCUGCCAGUUUCUCAUAAGUGCGAGGCAUUAUAAAUAAUGUAGUCUUAAUUAUUUGGAACCUUCCAGAUCAGAAAUAAUAGUGUAAAACUAGUGUAAAAUAAUAUUAUUGUCCUUCGGAAAAUUAGAUUCUUUUCGAUAUAAGACUUCUCUAUUAUAUAUGUUAAAUAGAAAAAGAAGGAUUCGUUGCCUUUUUUAUGAAUGAAUUACAAUCAUUUCACAUCCAACUUGUUCUAAGUUAUUUCAUCCCAUUAACUCUCUACAAGAAUCUAUAAAACUCUUGUUUUAAUUGUUUUCAAAAGCUCCCCACUAUCAUGUUUUCAUUUAUAAGAUUUCUGAAUUUUAUCACCAUUUUCUGCUUUUACUUAUUAUAGUACAAAAUCUUUUUCAGUACUAUAUUUUAUGCCACAUAUGUGGAAUCGACAAUUCCACUUUUGGAAUUCGACAUUUGGACACUUUGACACGAUAUUGUUUAUUCUACAGAGGAGUUCUACAAUAUUUAUGUGUCUAGUGUAAAGUGUAUGUUUCUCAGUUACCAUUUAUUAAUAUAAAUACUGCUUAUUAUUCCACUAUAAUUUCGCCAUAUCAUGGGUUUCAACGCAUGUUCUGUGUAUUUUUGCAGAUCAACCAGUAUUUUUGAAUGGGAGAUACCACUGUAACAACUGCGAAAAGAAUUAUAAAAAGAAAAAGUUUUUGAGAGCUCACCAGAAGAAUGAGUGUGGCAUCGAUCCGCAAUGUCCGCACUGUACCUACCGCACCAACCAGACAGGCUACCUCCGAAGACACAUCAUUUUCAAACAUUUUCGCCACACGAUUUCUUAAGUUUUAGUUUAAAAAUUCAUUUGAGAUUUACUGAAAAUCAGCCUUUUCAUUGAUCUAUUUCAACACUACAUCUAUUCUUGUAAUGGGUUUCAAUGCUCAACAGAGGGUUCAAGGAUGAGAAAUCCUCAUUGUACUUACAUAGCACCAUUGAACAGAAAGGCCAGCUUCAGAGACUCAUGAUUCUUAAGCAUUUUCUGCAAAAUCAUUCCUAAUGUCUCUUUUGAAUGUGUAUUCAAGCAGAGAUACUGAAAAUCAUAAUUGUCACUAAUAUAUUUUAUCACUUCAUCUAUUUUUAUAGAAUGAAUACUAAUUUGGGUUGACAAAAUUUUGUCAACUAUUGUGAUAAUUGUCUAGCCAUACUACAUGAAUUAUUAAAACACUAGUAGCAACUCGUCUCUAUAUUCUCUAUUCUGCCAUAGAGUAAAUACAUUUAAGAUUAUUAUUUGCCUCUGGCUCUCUACUUAUAUAGAAUCUACACUACUUUUGUAUCAGGCUACAUGUCUACAAUCAUGUUAACUCUUAUAAAUCAAGUUAAAUUGGGAUAUUCCACAUUUAAUUACUCAUGAGUUAUUAUGAUGCUAUCUUUACAAAUACAAAAUUUUACUCAAACUAUCUUUAUUUGUAAUAAUUAAUAUGAUCAUUCAUAAUCAUGCUUAACAAAAAUGUUUAGGGAUUAAAUUUUCUCCAAUAAUAAUAAUAAUAAUAUUUAUUGUUGAAGCUACGACAUGCAUAAUUCCUCAAUAUUACUAGUAUUAGGUAUUGAAAGACUAGAGGUAACUCGUCUGUAUCUCUGUAUUUUUGCUUCAUAUAAUUGACACAUUAAAUUCCUAAUACGAAUAAUUUUUUUUCAAAUGUAACUUUUUGAAGUUUUCUGUUUAUUUAGCUAUAAGAUUGACUUUCACAGAAUUAAUGCAUUAGUCAAGUUGGUUAUCUUCAUUUUUCAUGUUUCAUUUUCAAGUUUUAUGGUACCAUAUUCAGCUACGAGAUGUGUCUCCACAGAAUUAGAGUUCUAAUCACGUUAAUGUGAUUAUCUUCACUUUUAUGGAUGAUUGAAAGUAUUUUUAUUAAACAGCUAUUUCAUUUUCAUCGUUUACACAUCUUGAGCUCAUAAACUCACACAAUAGCCUACAUCCCAAUACUUACAGCUAUUUUGCAAUUUUAUAUCAUAAUUUCCAAUUACUACUCGUCUCUCUUAAUAUUUUCUUUUAAAUCUGUAUGGUACACCUUAAUUCUCACCAUGAGAUACGUCGAUUCUUCAUUCAUGUGAUUGUUUGAUUGAAAGUAUUUUUGUUAUAAAUAAAGCACAUUUUUCAUCACUUAUUACACAUAUCAAGUUCAUAAACUUGCUCAUCACAUUCCAAUGUUUAUUUCAUUGAUUCAUAUUAAUUUCCAAUUUGUUCACUUCUUCAUUUGUCCAUUUAGGGUUGUGAGGCAGAGAGAACCUGGAGUCCUAACUCCGCCCUAAUAAAGGCAAGUAAUCAAUCAAUCUCUUGUUGGUUGAAUGAUUUUAUUAUCAAUAUGAAAUCUAUUCAUAUUAAAUGUUCUUCAUCAGAAAACUGUUUGGUUAUCAAUAAAAAGUUGAUAGUAUCCUAUUAUGCAGUUUAUGUGUAUUUAGUCAAUCCAUUAAUGUUCACAUUGUAAUGCCUAAACUCAGGUUUGAACAGCUUCCUGAUAAUUUGUAGAUAACGUUUAUCAACUCCUCAGCGGAAGAGAGAGUUUUCGGUUGUAAACAGAGCAAUUCGAGUGGGCAGCGUGGCUCAAACAAUAAAUUACAGGUCGUGAUCUUCGGGUUGUUUUCGUGUUGAUAUGUGUUUCUUAGUUCGAAUAUGUGCUUCGUGGAGGCUGUGGUAGACGUUAUAUCGAAUCAUUUCCAAUAUUGAUCAAUCAGCAUUUGUGGAUGUGAGAUACUGGUGCAGUAAGUGUGGAAAGAGCUAUAAGAAGAGAAAAAGUUUGAGUGCCCAUCAGAAGUAUGAGUGUGGUAUAGAGCCCCAGCUGCAAUGUCCCUUCUGCCCGCAUCGUUCCAAAAGGAAGGAUCACCUCAAAACUCACAUCGCUCAUCUUACUUAUUAUUACAUCAAUUUAUAAAUGAUUGGAAUAAUAUGGUUUAAGGCCAGUUGACAGAUAUUUAAGAUUGGAGCAUGGCCGUGGAUUUAUGUGCAAUUGUGGUAAAAGGUACAAGGACAGAUCGAGUGUGAGAACCCACCUCAAGUUCGAGUGUGGCAAAGAGCCACAGUUCCAAUGUCCACACUGUUCCUACCGCGCAAACCGGAAAGGAAACCUCAAGAUCCACAUCUAUGGACAGCAUAAGUCACUAUUAUAAAAUAAUUGUCUAGAACUCUUCAAAAAUAUUAUAUUUUUGUCGAUUUUUGAAGUAACUUACUAUAUUUCUAUUGCUGACCACAAAUAUUGUAUGAUUCCAAAAUCAGGCCAAACUUUGUUACACAAUACUACAAUUUUUAAUAUAAUUUAUUAAUUUCCUAUUUUUAGUAUUAUCAUUGACAAUAAUACUCAAUACACUCAUUAAAAUAGGUGUGUUUACUCAAUACACAUAUAGGCCUAUAUCUGUCAGUUUCUUAUAUUAAGCUAAAGAAAUACUUCUACUUAUUUUAUUUUUACUUGUUGAGUGUAUUUCUAUUUUAUUCAAAUCAUUUUCAAUCUGUUAUAUUUGACCGAGAUUAGUGAGGUCUACGUUUUAACUGGACUGGAUUUUAUUUCGUCUGUUUGUAUGUACCUAUAUGUAUAUUUUUGUUCGUAUGUGACGUAUGUUCGACCAAACGCAGCAACAGAUUUCCAUGACAUUUGACUGGAGUGUUCCUUUUCGAUUGCGCUUCGAUGUAGGUCUAUAUGUAAGAUUAUUUGGAAGUUUGCAUUUCAAGGCCAAUAUAGAAGGAAAAGGAAAUUUUCAAUACUGUGAUACUACUAUAUUCAUAAUCUGUUGCUAAACAUAUGAACUUUGAACUUUAUUUUCCAAAAAACAUUACAAACAAAGAAAACGAAAAACAAUAAGGGUACUUACUUAUUGAAUUAGCAAGUUGAUGCUAAAUGUAGCUAUAUAUUUAUAGUUUAUUAAUUAUAAAGUAACAUUGCUGCUAGAAUAAAUAAUAAUAAUGUCCAUUAUAAAUAAUUACGGGUAAUAUUUGAGGGAAAAUGAUACCUGCAUAGGUUUAAAACCGUGUGCGCAGGUAGGUUAUAUUAAAAAAAGAUCAAACAAAGACACGAAACACGUGAUUGUGCAGCGACUAUAUAUUAUUAAUCAAGAUCAAGAUUGAUUUCAUAAUCAUAGGCCUACAUGGAAUGUUAUUUUGCGUAUUGAGUCAUUUUGAUAAAGAGGAAACAAUUUAAAUCUCAUAUAUUCUUUUCAACUACGUACUUUUUAUUAUUCAACUACGUAUUCUUUUAUUACAGUACUGUAAUAAAAUUAUUUUCAAAGUAGCUUAUGUCUAUAAAGCUAAGUUGACACCAAAGUGUUAAUAAUUUUUUGUUUGUCCUGAUAAAUUUCUACCAGAUUCAAUGGAACUUGAGAAACAGAUGAUGCGUUAUUGCCAAGAAAGGUGCAUCCUUAGCGACGACUCGAGACGCGCGGCUGGAGUACAUAGCACAUAAAUUCAUUAGAGAUUCCAUGAUUAAUUUAUUUUUAUGACGUAUGAACGUUAUGGCGGCAGAUAAACUGGAAGUAUUGGCUACUAUAGUAUUGCAUCUCUGAUGAAUCAUCGAAUCUAGUGAAUUUAUACGCUAUGUAGGCUACUGCAGCCGCGGCGGCUCGAGUCGUCGCUCAAGGUGCGUUCACAUUAGUCAAGUUUAAUUGAAUUCAAUUAUUUUAACGUUUGAGUUGAAUGGGUGAUUUUGAAAACAUAAAUUAAAAAAUCUAAUAAAUAAAUCUCAAAUAAAGCUUUCUUCUAAAUUUUCAUACUUUUAUUUUUACUUGUUUUUAUACAUUCUACAUUGACUGAAAACUGUUUUGAUCUCAUUUUUCCAUUGGUAUGUUCGAUUGUAUCUUCAAGAUUCAAAUUGAAUACAAAAGUCAAACAUGCUCAACAUCUGCAAAACGUGAAGAAGGGUCUACAUUGGUAUAGUAGUGGAUGCAAUAAGUUUCUGUUCUUGUAAACUUGACUUGAAGUUCGCAAAAUACAUUUAUUUUAUACAAAACUUCAAUUUUAUUCAACUAAACUACCUAAUCUAGUGAACGCCCCUUAAGAAAUUCCACCUUUAUGUUCAAUCUAGAAUUAAUAAGAACGGAAAAACAUUCUAUUGACAACUUUGAUGUAAUCUAAUAUAAGCUUUAUAAUUGGAAUAAAUAUUAUUGAGGUCCACGUUGUAAUGGCAGUAUUUGAUUGACAUUUGGUGUUGCUAUCCUUGUCUAUCAUUCGAUAAGACUAGCCUUUUCCAGCUCGUUUUUUAACAAUGUAGAAAUAUAAUUAACAAAAUAUAUUUAAUCUCAAUUAUGAAAAUUUAUUAUUCAUUUAUUGAAAAAUAUAUUCACUUGCCAAAUAAAAUAUUAUUUAUUAGGUAUUUCAAGACAAGGAUGAACAGUUAAUAUUAUUAAUAAUGAACAGAUAUAUUGGUAUCAACUAUCCUCUAUAAAAGGCAGUGGCAAAGCAGAAAAUUGGUAACGCUGUUCUCCUAUUUUUCCCACUGCCAUUACAACGUGGACCUCGCCAUAGUUGCUGUCUACAAUAAUAAUAUUGUAGAUACGCCAACAUAAUCAUCUACUAUUGGCUGUUUUAACAGUGACCUACUUUUCGUGACAGAAUUUUCUCCGAUGGGCUAAUUGGGUGGCAUAAACAAUUGGAUCUGUUCA